GGCGCCCCGCCCCUGCUGCCUAGUCCUCGACCCUGGGGAACACUGACCCGAACUUUGUGCGUUCUUUCUCUGCUACCCUGCGCCUCCGGUUCUUUCCCGCAGACAUGCCAUUUGUCGAGUUAGACACGAACUUGUCCGCCGGCCGUGUGCCCACGGGAUUGGAGAAGCGGCUCUGCGCGGCCACGGCAGACAUCCUGAGCAAACCUGAGGACCGCGUGAACGUAACGGUGCGACCAGGUCUGGCCAUGGCGGUGAACGGCUCCACCGAGCCCUGCGCUCAACUGCUCAUCUCCUCCAUCGGUGUGGUAGGCACAGCCGAGGACAACCGCGGCCACAGCGCCCGGUUCUUCGAUUUCCUCACCAAGGAGCUGAACCUGGACCAGGAUCGUUUGUAGGUUUCUCUUCUGUGAAUAGAAGGAAAUGUAUUAAAUGGUCACCUAAGAAGCCCGAACAGCCCUCCAACCUGGGAUCCUGUGUCAGAGUUUAAGUUUGUCUCUGGGAUAAUUAUCCGCUUCUUUCCUGUGGAGCCCUGGCAGAUUGGCAAGAAAGGGACAGUCAUGACUUUCCUGUGAUUGGCACAGAGGGCAUCCAAAGCAUGCAUCUGCCAGCUCUCUGCCAGAGAGGCUUCCUGGCAGAGUAAGGGCCUGGUGGAUACCAGCUUCUGGCACUUCUUCAUGCAGAUGUGCCUGUGACCUCACAGUCCUCUUCCCCAUCCUCGUGUCAAAUAAACGAAGAGAACUUCGUCUUUC